CCUACGGGUGGCAGCAGUGAGGAAUAUUGGUCAAUGGCCGGAAGGCUGAACCAGCCAUGCCGCGUGAAGGUCAGUGCCCUAUGGGCGUUAAACUUCUUUUGUGCGGGAGCAAUAAUGGUCACGUGUGGCCAGACGAGAGUACCGUACGAAUAAGCAUCGGCUAACUCCGUGCCAGCAGCCGCGGUAAUACGGGGGAUGCAAGCGUUAUCCGGAUUUAUUGGGUUUAAAGGGUGCGUAGGCUGUGAGGUAAGUCAGCGGUGAAAUGCCCCCGCUCAACGGGGUGAAGUGCCAUUGAUACUGCCUGGCUGGAAUGCGGAUGCGGUGGGAGGAAGGUGUGGUGUAGCGGUGAAAUGCAUAGAUAUCACACAGAACACCGAUUGCGAAGGCAUCUCACGAAGCCGCGAUUGACGCUGAUGCACGAAAGCGUGGGUAUCAAACAGGAUUAGAUACCCGAGUAGUC
rnacentral:rRNA from 1 species